GAACUCGCUUCGGCGGUACAUAUACUAAAAUUGGAACGAUACAGAGAAGAUUAGCAUGGCCCCUGUGCAAGGAUUUUUACCAACUAGUUUUUUUUAAUUUGU
rnacentral:snRNA from 1 species